rnacentral:rRNA from 1 species
AUGGAGGCGCCAUGGGCUGGCCGGGACUCGGCGCCAUGGUCCGUUCGGCGCAUCGGCGGCGGCGCGAUGCUCGACGAGUCACGACGACUCGUCGUAACCCUGGAGGCGGAGGUCGCCGGCCUCUCCAUCCCACACCUCCGUGGCUUCCUCGCCGGCGCCUCCUCGGCCGUCCUCAUCGUCGACUUCUUCUGCAGCAUCGUGCUCGACGUCGCCGCGGAGCUCGGCGUCCCAGGGUACUAUUUCUUCACGUCCGCCGCCGAGGCGCUGGCCUCCAACCUGUAUCUCCCAGACCUGCAUGCCCGGAGCGCCGCCAACUUUCGGGAAAUGGGAGAGGAGCUCGUGCACGUGCCGGGGAUCCCCGCGCUUCCGGCAACGCACUUCCCCAAGCCGCUCACGGACCAUGACGACGCGGCAUACAUAUGGUCCCUCAGAGUGUCCCCCAACCUCUGCCGCUCCAAGGGCAUCAUCGUCAACACCUUCCGCUCGCCCGAGCCACGCGCGGUGGACGCCAUCGCCGCCGGGCUCUGCACGCCUCCCGGCCUCCCGACUCCCCCCGUCUACUGCAUCAGGCCGCUCAUAAAGUCAGAGGAUGUGGGCGUGAAGCGCAGCCACAAGUGCCUGGCAUGGCUGGACACGCAGCCGACGGCCAGCGUGGUGUCCCUCUGCUUCGGCAGCCUCGGCGUGUUCAACGCAGAGCAGAUCAGGCAGGGCUUCCUGGACCGGACCAAGGGGACGGGCCUCGUCGUCAAGUCACGGGCGCCGCAGCGCGACGUGCUGGUGCAUGGCGCGGUGGACGGUUUCAUGACGCACUGCGGAUGGAACUCCGUGCUCGAGGCGGUCAUCGCCGGCGUGGCCAUGCUGGCCUGGCCGUUGUACGCGGAGCAACGGAUGAACAGAGUGUUCCUAGAAGAGGAGCUGGGUCUGGCCGUUGCGGUGGAUGGAUAUGACAAGGAGGUGGUGGAAGCCGACGAAGUGACGGCAAAGGUGAGGUGGUUGAUGGACUCCGACGGCGGGAGGGUGCUCCGGGAGCGGACGACGGCGGCUAUGCGACGGGCCAAAGAGGCGUUGGGCGAGGAUGGGGAGUCUAAUUUGACGUUGUGUCGACUGGUGCAGGGCUGGAUGCUUGGAGACAUGGGAGAGGACGCGGGUUCCGCGGAGAAGAGAUAG